rnacentral:lncRNA from 10 species
CAUUUAAUCUUACAAGAGUACCAUGCAGUAGAUGUCAUCAUCCCCAUUUUGCAGGUUAGGGAACUAAGGCUUGGAGAGAUGAAGUGGCUUUCCCAAGGCCGUUUCACUGGUAGGUAACAGAGUGAGAACUUGAACCCAGAUUCCUGGAUUCUAAGUCCAGGAUUGUUCUUUUCUAUAUCUGCUUGCAGGCCAUGGAAGGGGACCCUACAUCUUUCCUGUUAGCACUGCGGGUGGCUUUGUUUAAGCAAUGAGCUAUGAGAGAACAUCUCCCCUCCUGCUGUGUGCGCUCUACUGCUACAGUGUGCACAGGUCCAAUUAGAAUGCCAGUGGAAGGGCUGGCCAUCUGCCUGAGGGAGUGGGAGCCCUGGAGCUCCUGAAUUGGGAGGGUCUUCAUCUUUCUCCGGCUUCAACCUUAAGUCUGCUCUCCAAAUGACUUGAUAACACCAUAGGAACCAAAGAUUGUAAAGCAAAGUCUCUCCAUGUCUUGCUCUGCCCCCUCUGCAGAUUUUCCUGCAUUCAUUUCCCCUUGGCACCCUUUCCCCUGUCUUGGUGCCAGAGGUGUGACCUGACCUGUCUUAAGGCCAAUCAUUCUAUCUGGCCACUGGAUCCUAUCCCCUUGGGUCCACCCAAAUGACACUUUCUUUCCUCUCUCUCAACUACUGCAGGCUGUCUGGCUCCACUGUCUCUUCCUCAGGUGCAUUUAACUUGUUUUUAUUUCUUCCAUCUUUAAAAGAAAACCAUCUACCCUCCUUCCUUACCAGGGCCAAUGCCUGUCACAGCUAAGUUAACUGAAAUUGUAACCUAUGCACCAGGGCCAUUUUCCGCCUCCCACUGACUCUUCCACAUACUGGAAUCAAGCUUCUGCCAUCUCCCCCUAUCUGGCUGACCCAUUUCACUUCGCUGGGUUCACUGAGGUCACCAAUGACCAAGGGGCAAGGAUUGAUCCUUAACUUAGCAAUGGUCACCCUGUUCUUAACACUGUUUCUAUAUUGGCCUCAAAGACAUCACUCUGCCUUGCCCUUGGGUGCUUCCUCGUCAGUCCCCUUCUUGGCCUCCUUUUCCUCCAAUUAGCCCCUGAAUGUCAGAGACCAGCAUUCCCCCUUCCCGUGAUCUAGAUGAGCCACCUUCCCCACAAUCUGAGAGAUUUCUUACUCCUAAGGUCCAGACUUCUUUUUGGUAACUGUCUACCACUUUGGAGCAGAUGCACCUGUGCUAUUGCCUCCUCUGUUAGGAGGCAUGGAUACCCCCCAGCCUCCUGGAAAGCUGAACAUAGGGAGUUAAAGGGUUGUUCUCCACCGGGAGUCAAUCGACCCAAUCUGGGGGUUGCAGAAUGCAAGGGAGGGAGGAGAGUUGGCCAAAGACAGGAUUUAGAAGGAAAUUAGGCCCAAAGGCCCAAAGGCCAAAAGACCAAAGGGUCUAUCAAAAGAAAUCUUUUCUGUUCCUUUAAUGCAAAGGCCUAGCCCUUGGGGUCAGCAAAGCUCCCCUCUCUCUUAUGAAAGCAACAGAGAAGACGACAUGCUUGGAGAGGAAGGGGAGGAAAGUGCAACCAGCUUCUUUCCUAACACCAAUGCGGGGGAGUAGAAGGUAAUUCCCAGCUUUUGUACCAAGGCCCUUCUGAAAGGUUCCCUAAGCACAUGUGUUCACUUUCACCUUUAUUUUUAGGUGUACAGACCUCCUAAAGUCAAUCUGAUCUGCGUACCUGCCACCAGCCCAAAUUAAGGACCCUUAAUUUGUGUGUAUGUUAGUCCCCAUUGAGUCAGCAUGGGGCUGGCAUGGAGCUUAACAGGGAGUGACCCUAUAUCCAGGAAACCCCAAUAUCCAACCGGUGUAUUGCAGAUGGGAAGGUAGCAGGAGGUCCCAGGCAACAGGAAGUACCUGAAGACAGGAAAGUGGCUGCGUGGGGAACCCGGGUGGUGAAUCCAUUCAGGGCAGAAGUGCAGCGCACAGUCUCUAUAGCUGAGGGCUGGAGGAAGCAGAGCUGGCAGGGACAUCUGCCGAAACUGAUUCUGCGUACCUGGAGUCCUUGACGGAGAAGAGAGGGUCUUUCAACAAGCUCUUCUGAGUACUGAGGUACUGAGUACCUCACACUGAAAUACUGAGUACCUCACACUGAAGUACUGAGUACCUCACACUGAAAUGCAGUGUGAGGUGAAUCCAUUGAAGAGAGGAAUACGGUAUGGUAAGAAAUUGUGGUAUGAGAAAGUCCAAGAAUAUAAGCAAACACCUACACGUUGGUACAUAUCCCCAGUUCCUUCCCAGGCACUGGCCUUAUGCCCAGCACCCGGAAACUCUUUGGAAGGUAGGCGUUCAUGUGAAGCGGAUUUUACCUGGACCUAACUAACCCGGGGAAGGGAAGGAGAGAGUGAGCCUGGGGGAGGAGCUGUUGUGAUAUUUGUGGUGCCAGGGUCACGACCAAGGUCAUCCAUACCAGGAGGGCCCUGGCAAUGAUUCCAGUAUUAAAGAGCCACGUUGCCAACUUCUCCAGAGAAGGUAUAGGAAUGAAAACGACCCAAACACCUGUGAAUGUGCCAGAUGUUCUUAGGCAGUUUGCCUGUGUUAUUUCACCUAGGCAGGUAACAUUUUAGACACAAACAGAUUGAGGCUCAGAGAAGGUAAAGAAACUUGUCCUAAGCACAGCUGGCAAGAAAUAAAACUGGAACCCAACUCCCAACCAGUCAAAAAUGGAAGCCCCCAAAUCCCAAAUUAUUAAACAUAAUUUUUAUUUCAUCCAAGG